rnacentral:rRNA from 1 species
UACCAGCACCCCGAGUGGUCGGGACGAUUAUUGGGCCUAAAGCAUCCGUAGCCGGUCAUGCAAGUCCUCCGUUAAAUCCACCUGCUUAACAGAUGGGCUGCGGAGGAUACUAUAGAGCUAGGAGGCGGGAGAGGCAAGCGGUACUUAGUGGGUAGGGGUAAAAUCCGUUGAUCCAUUGAAGACCACCAGUGGCGAAGGCGGCUUGCCAGAACGCACUCGACGGUGAGGGAUGAAAGCUGGGGGAGCAA